UGCUUUCCCGGUGACUCACAGCGUUCCUGGCCGGUCAGCGGCGGCCGCAGGACACCCCGGCAGCGCUCUGCCCCGGCCUCUGCCUGAACUCCGCUGGCAAAGCAAUCCCCCCCGCCAGAUGCGGGGUUCCUCGGCCCGCUGUCCCCCCGGCUGAGAGGAUGGGGACAGGGCACAGAGCUCACGGCAGGAGCUGCGCUGACCUCUCCGUGGCCUGGGCGCUUCCUCCUCUGCCAGUUCUGCAGAACCCCCAAGAGGAACGGGCUCGCCACAAACAGCCCUGGUGCAGCCCCGACUCUGAGCACUGCCCCAGCUCUGUCCAGCUCUGUGACUCAGUUUCCCUUUGUUGAGCUUCAGCCCUUUGAAUCCGCUCCUGGCUUCCCUCAGGGCGCUUCCCCAGCACCAUUCUGCAUCGUUCUGCAUCCCACCACCUGCAGCCAUCCUGCUAUGUUGCCAUGAGUGGGUCAGUUCUCCGCAGGCGGGACCGGGACCGGGAGCGGGGCAGGAUGAGUGCGGGGACCGGAGCUGGCAGCAGCCAAGUGGCCCGUGGUGGCCGUGGCCCGCCCGGUGCUCAGCACGCAGGAAUGCCGUGAGCUUGCAAAGUGGUUUCAGCGAGACGUUAUCUAAUGGAGGAGGAGGAGAAGGGUGGAUUAAGCCAAACCCACAGCACCGGCUUUCAAUUAAACCAAGUGAAUUUA